AGCGAACGCUGGCGGCAUGCCUAACACAUGCAAGUCGCGCGGGCAGUAAUGUCAGCGGCGGACGGGUGCGUAACGCGUAGGAGCAUAUCUAGAGGUGGGGGACAACCCUGGGAAACUGGGGCUAAUACCGCAUAUGUCCUGAGGGACAAAGCAGCGAUGCGCCUUUGGAGUGGCCUGCGUCCGAUUAGCUUGUUGGUGGGGUAAUGGCGUACCAAGGCGACGAUCGGUAGCUGGUCUGCGAGGACGAUCAGCCACACUGGGACUGAGACACGGCCCAGACUCCUACGGGAGGCAGCAGUGGGGAAGAUUGGAAAAUGGUCGCAAGCCUGAUCCAGCAAUGCCGCGUGUGUGAAGAAGGUCUUCGGAUUGUAAAGCACUUUCGACAGGGACGAUGAUGACGGUACCUGUAGAAGAAGCCCCGGCUAACUUCGUGCCAGCCGCCGCUGUAAAAC
rnacentral:rRNA from 1 species